rnacentral:rRNA from 1 species
UACGAACUGUGCGAACGUUAUUCGGAAUCACUGGGCUUACACGGUGCGUAGGCGGCCUGUUAAGUAGGGUGUGAAAGCCCCCGGCUCAACCGGGGAAUGGCGCCCUAAACUGGCGGGCUGGAGUGAGAUAGGGGUGUGUGGAACUUCCGGUGGAGCGGUGAAAUGUGUUGAUAUCGGAAGGAACGCCGGUGGCGAAAGCGACACACUGGAUCUUGUCUGACGCUGAGGCACGAAAGCCAGGGGAGCGAACGGG